GUCGAGCGGAGAUUUCAGAAGUGCUUGCACUUCUGGGAUUUCAGCGGCGGACGGGUGAGUAACACGUAGGUAACCUGCCUGUAAGACUGGGAUAACUAUCGGAAACGGUAGCUAAUACCGGAUAAUACAUUUCUUCACAUGAAGGGAUGUUGAAAGGCGGAGUAAUCUGCCACUUAUAGAUGGACCUGCGGCGCAUUAGCUAGUUGGUGAGGUAAUGGCUCACCAAGGCGACGAUGCGUAGCCGACCUGAGAGGGUGAACGGCCACACUGGGACUGAGACACGGCCCAGACUCCUACGGGAGGCAGCGGUAGGGAAUCUUCCGCAAUGGACGAAAGUCUGACGGAGCAACGCCGCGUGAGUGAUGAAGGUUUUCGGAUCGUAAAGCUCUGUUGCCAGGGAAGAACGCUUAGGAGAGUAACUGCUCUUAAGGUGACGGUACCUGAGAAGAAAGCCCCGGCUAACUACGUGCCAGCAGCCGCGGUAAUACGUAGGGGGCAAGCGUUGUCCGGAAUUAUUGGGCGUAAAGCGCGCGCAGGCGGUCAUUUAAGUUUGGUGUUUAAUUCCAGGGCUCAACCCUGGGUCGCACUGAAAACUGGGUGACUUGAGUACAGAAGAGGAGAGUGGAAUUCCACGUGUAGCGGUGAAAUGCGUAGAUAUGUGGAGGA
rnacentral:rRNA from 1 species